rnacentral:rRNA from 1 species
CACUGCUAUCGGGGUUCGAUUAAGCCAUGCGAGUCGAGAGGGUUCAGACCCUCGGCGCACUGCUCAGUAACACGUGGAUAACCUACCCUGAGGAGGGGGAUAACCCCGGGAAACUGGGGAUAAUACCUCAUAGGUUUCAGAUGCUGGAAUGCUCUGAAACCGAAAUGCUCCGGCGCCUCAGGAUGGAUCUGCGGCCGAUUAGGUUGUUGUUGGGGUAACGGCCCAACAAGCCCGUCAUCGGUACGGGUUGUGAGAGCAAGAGCCCGGAGAUGGAUUCUGAGACACCAAUCCAGGCCCUACGGGGCGCAGCAGGCGCGAAACCUUUACAAUGCGAGCAAUCGUGAUAAGGGAACCCCGAGUGCCUGAAACCAGGCUGUUCAGGUGUUUAAAAAGCACCUGGAGAAAGGGCCGGGCAAGACCGGUGCCAGCCGCCGCGGUAAUACCGGCGGCUCGAGUGGUGGCCGCUAUUAUUGGGCUUAAAGCGUUCGUAGCUGGGUUGUUAAGUCUCUUGGGAAAUCUCACGGCUCA